rnacentral:lncRNA from 1 species
UUAAAUCCAUGUUUACAUCUAUGUUUAGUUGAUUGAUCAUUCAUGAACAAAACAUCUGUUGGAAAAAGAUUGAUUAUGUGAACUAAUUUGGAUUGAAAACAUACAUACAUCUUUGUAAGAUUCCACUGAAAUUUGACCUUGUAUAAUAACUUGUCAUGAGAAAAGAGGUUUUGAAAGUGUGAAUUAUUUGAUGAAAAAGUGGAAAGCCAGGUUUUGUCUUGUUUUC